rnacentral:misc_RNA from 1 species
UAUCAAUAAUCUUGAAAAGUCUUACACGCUUAAUGAGAGUCAUCAAAGCAAAUAAGCCUUUCAUAUCAACGAAGCAGACCAAAAUUUUAAUAACCAAAAAAUCAAUAAAUAACCUAACGAUAUUGACUUGUAAUUUUCUCUUGGCCUUAUGUGAUGUAUAAAUCUGGCAUUUCACAGACAUUAUGAGCACAUCUCUCAAGAUGCAAGCAGAUUCCACUCAAUCUGACAUGCCAUCAAAAAGGGCCAAGACAAAAUCAAAGAAACGUAAAAAAUCCACAUCUGAAGACAGAAAAAAGCUGGAGAAGGCGAAACGGAUGAAAAAAUCAGCUCCUAAGAAGAAGGCAAAGCGGGGAACUAAUGAAGAUGAUGAUGAAAAUCUCAGUGAUGACAGUGACCUUGACCUUGAAAAAGAAGUCCUGCCGAUCGGGAAGUUCAUCAAAAAUAGAGAGACUCUGAUUAACGAAAUCUUCCACUCAUUGAGGGGUUCCCGCUUGGGCAACAUGGUUCCCGACAUCUUAAAGUCAGUCAGCCAGGAUGAACUGAAGAAACUUUGUCUUGAGCAGCUUCUCAUCAUGUCCCGCAAACGCAUCAAAAGAAUCAUUGACGGUGAUGACCCAGACUUUAUAUCAUCAUCAGGAACAGAGGAUGAGUCUUCAGAUGAAGAGGCUGUUCUGGAAGAAGAAGCUGUUGUGGAUGAAGAGCUGGAUGGUUGGGAAUACAACCCUGAAGGUGAAGAUGCUGUUGCUAAUGGAGAUGACGAGGAUUCUGAAAUGGUUGACUCCACUAACAUAGAGGUAGCAGACAAUGAUGCUGAACAG